GCCCCCUUAGCUCAGUGGACUAGAGCGGGUGCCUUCUAAGCACUAGGUCGGCCGUUCGAAUCGGCCAGGGGGCA
rnacentral:tRNA from 1 species